AUUUAAUUGUGUGAAGGCACUGAAUCGGUAUGUGUUCAUUUCUCAAUAAUGCACUUCAAGCUGUCAAUAAUGACGAAUUCAAAGUAAAAUGUUGAUGUUUCAAUGUGAACAAGUUAUUAUCGGUACGCUUUCCAUUUUAAUAGGCUUCUCAGACAUUCUCAAUGAAAUGAACUAUCACCUAAAAAAAUAUAUUUGGUUGACAUGAAUUUCCUAAUGGUUUUUGGUGAAUCACUCUCUUUUCACAGAUUGGGAGAGGUGCUAUCAAAACAUCAUCAUAUUCCUCAUGAAAGAGAAAAACGAGAAAGAAAAAACUGUGAGAGAACUUCUGGGCACUGUCAGUGAAAAUGUACGAGAUGCUUCAAUUAUUAGGAGCUUAUUUGGUGCCUACGAUGGAUGCCAUUACUAGACAAAUAACACAACCAAAUAUAGAAUUGAAGAUUCUCAGGGAUGAUUCCUGUUUGUUGGAAGGUAGAUUCAGGAAGUGGAAGAUCAUAUAGAGUAUUGGAAA